rnacentral:lncRNA from 1 species
GAAGGGCCCGCCCACCUGCCAGGCCACGCCCCCGUCUCGGCCACGCCGCAGCUCAGGGUUUUCUCUGAGGGCUGUGAGAGGCUAGGCCCGGGGAGAGGAGGCAGAGGUUAUGCUCCGGUCUCUGCAGACUUCCACAGUGUCUAUCGAGAUCACACAUGCCAGCAUUGCCCCCUCCCAUCCUCUCCUCAUCGUACGGAGGAGGAAACCCAGGCCGAAGACCUGAAGUGUCCAAAAGCACAGCCAGGCCAAAGAGAAGCACCAUCCCAUGUUCUCCCACUCCCACUCCGGUGCUUCUUCAGUGUGAACUGGACCCAGCAACUUCUUCUAACAAAUAGAGCAUGACAAAAUUGAUGGGAUAUCACUUCUGAGAUUAGAUUACAAAAGGAUGUGACUUCUGCCUUGCUCACACUCUCUCUCUGGCCCUCUUGCGUGCUUGCUCUCAUGAAGCUGGCUGUCAUAUUGUCAGCUGCCCUAUGGAAGGACCCAUAUGGCAAGGACUCAAGGGAAGCCUCUUGCCAACAGCUGGUGAGGAACUGAAGCCAUCAGUCUAACAGCCUGUGAUAAAAUGGUUCUUGCCAACAACCACUUAAGCGAAUUCAGCAUCGAAUCAUCCCCAGCUCAAGCCUUAAGAUGAGACCAUAGCCCCAGCUAACACCUUGAUUACAGUCUUGUGAGAGACCAGAGCCAGAGGACCUAGCCAAGAGUCCAUGCCUGGAGUCUCAAUCUACAGAAACUGUCACAUAAUACAUGGUGUUUUAAUCCACUGUGUUUUGGCAUGAUUUGUCACACAGCAAGAUAACUAAUACAAAUCACCAAACUAGAGAUCCCUCAAAUGGUCAUCAAAAGUAGAAUGGAUAAGCUGGGCUGGGCUCAGUGUCCCAUGCUUGAGCCCAGGAGCUCAAGAUUGUAGUGUGCAAUGAUCACACCUAGAAAUAGCCACUUCACUCCAUCCUGGGCAACAUAGUGAGAGCCAAAAAUAAAAAAUAAAAAUAAUAAAUAAAUAGGAGUCAUUGAAUGAAUUUCAAGGUGGGAGUGGCCAAUGGUGCCAACUGUUCUAGAGUCAAAUACCAAAAGAAGUGAAGUUUCCCGACUGGAUGCGACAAGUUGCAGGUUUGCAGACCUGAUUCUGAGAUGGCCCUCGAGAUUCCCAUCUUUGGCACCCCUCUCCAUUUUUGUGGGUGGGAUCUGUGACUAUAAUGGGAUCACUGCUCCCUUGAUUAGGUGCUGUUAUAUGAGACUCCAUCUGAGCAGACUGUCUAGUAAUUCACAGCUGGCCCCAAAGAAGCAAAUGGCCUUGUUAUGAACUACUUACCUCAGGUCCUAGCCGCAUGGCCCCCUUCAAAGGCUAAGAGUGACUCUCACCAACCAGCAAAGACAAAAUAGGAUGUCAUUUCUACAGCUACAAGGAACUGGUUUCUGCCCACAACCCCAAGCUCCAGAAGGAAUUCAGCCCAGCAAACACCCGGAUUUCAGUCUGUAAGACUCUGAGCAGAGACCCCAGCCACACUAUGCCUGGAUUCCUGACUCCUUGUAACUGUGAGAUAAUAAAAGGCUAAUGUUUUAUGUCAAUAAAUUUCUUGUAUUUUGUUAUGCAAUAGAAGAAAAUAAAUAUAGCAGGUCAUCAAUGACCUAAGGGCAGAGUAGGUGAUAGAGAUCAUGUGAAGUCUUUAAAAUAGGAUUAUGACAUACUUUCCCUACCCAGUUGACCUCCUGCCUGGAUU